GAACGCGAAGAACCUUACCAGGGUUUGACAUGCAAGUGGUAGGAAGCCGAAAGGUGACCGACCCUUCGGGGAGCUUGCACAGGUGCUGCAUGGCUGUCGUCAGCUCGUGCCGUGAGGUGUAUGGUUAAGUCCCACAACGAGCGCAACCCCUGCCCUUAGUUGCCAGCCCGCGAGGGGGCACUCUAAGGGGACUGCCUCCGUCAAGGAGGAGGAAGGUGGGGAUGACGUCAAGUCAGCAUGGCCUUUAUGCCCAGGGCUACACACGUCCUACAGUGGCUGUUACAAUGGGUUGCGACACCGGCAAGGUGGAGCCAAUCCUGAAAAGCAGCCAUGGUUCGGAUUGCAGGCUGCAACUCGCCUGCAUGAAGAUGGAAUCGCUAGUAAUCGCAGAUCAGGCAUGCUGCGGGUGAAUACGUUCCCGGGGUCUUGUACACACCG
rnacentral:rRNA from 1 species